GUCUGUUCCUAAGCAUGAAGGAGGACCACAUGAGGAUCCUGGACACCUACUGCAUGAAUGUAUUCACCCUUUCAGGUCUAGGGACCUGCAUCUCCUGGACAGUCAGCCGAGUGUUUCCAUGAUACCAGCCAUACCUGAUGCCAGGAGACUCGCUACACUUGGAAGCUCUUCAAGGUUUAACAUCCUCCCAGGAUGUCAACUGGAAGAUCAUGCCGUUCCUGACAAUUAGAAGUUUAGAGAGUGAGGUGGCUGGAGAUACAGCACGUUGAUUAUCUGUGACACAAUCAGUCAGAAGCAGGACCACAUGAAUUCUCCAUCAUCAAACAAAAUGACUGGCUUUCUGUGUGAUUCUUCACACUGUGAAUGCAGCUACUAAUAACACUGAUUUUACUUCAGGCAAGAGAAACAGAGCCUCUCAUUUUCCU
rnacentral:lncRNA from 1 species